GGGUCGUUAGCUCAGUUGGUAGCGCAGUUGACUUUUAAUCAAUUGGUCGCAGGUUCGAAUCCUGCACGACCCACCA
rnacentral:tRNA from 1 species